rnacentral:rRNA from 1 species
UACGGGGGGGGCAAGCGUUGUUCGGAAUUACUGGGCGUAAAGGGCUCGUAGGCGGCCAACUAAGUCAGACGUGAAAUCCCUCGGCUUAACCGGGGAACUGCGUCUGAUACUGGAUGGCUAGAGUUUGGGAGAGGGAUGCGGAAUUCCGGGUGUAGCGGUGAAAUGCGUAGAUAUCUGGAGGAACACCGGUGGCGAAGGCGGCAUCCUGGACCAACACUGACGCUGAGGAGCGAAAGCCAGGGGAGCAAACGGG